rnacentral:rRNA from 1 species
CCUACGGGAUGCAGCAGUGAGGAAUAUUGGUCAAUGGACGAGAGUCUGAACCAGCCAAGUAGCGUGAAGGAUGACUGCCCUAUGGGUUGUAAACUUCUUUUAUAUGGGAAUAAAAUGUUCCACGUGUGGGAUUUUGUAUGUACCAUAUGAAUAAGGAUCGGCUAACUCCGUGCCAGCAGCCGCGGUAAUACGGAGGAUCCGAGCGUUAUCCGGAUUUAUUGGGUUUAAAGGGAGCGUAGGUGGAUUGUUAAGUCAGUUGUGAAAGUUUGCGGCUCAACCGUAAAAUUGCAGUUGAAACUGGCAGUCUUGAGUACAGUAGAGGUGGGCGGAAUUCGUGGUGUAGCGGUGAAAUGCUUAGAUAUCACGAAGAACUCCGAUUGCGAAGGCAGUUCACUGGACUGCAACUGACACUGAGGCUCGAAAGUGUGGGUAUCAAACAGGAUUCGAUACCCCUGUAGUC